AGUAUAUAUAUGCAUUUUAAUCACUUAAAUAGAUAUCAAUGCAGUAAAAACAAGAGAUUUAUUUUUAUUUCAUUUUUUGCAUUACAAAAUUGGCCUAAAAUUCUUAAAAUAAUGUCACAAUGCAGAGAAUCUUAUUGUUCCUAAAGUAGCCCUAAUGUUAUUUUGUUUAUGCAGGAUAUCAUUUCUUUUAUUUGUUUGAUGAGUUUUACCCUUUGAACUUCUUAUUUGAUCACUUUAUUUAUUUUUUUAAAUUUAUUUUUCUUUGGGGUUUGUUUUCAUAGUUUUUCCCAGAGGUCUGAUUUAUUUGGAAAACAUGAUGUUUGAUGACGAGCCGAACAGAAUCUGAAUUCUGAAGAUGAGGCUCGCUGAAAAAUCCUGAAACAUCAUAUCAGCUGUUUUAUUAGUAUUUUUCAUUUUUAUUAAAUGAAGGGUUUAUGUGUUGAGAAAUAUUUCGGGAGCAGAAUAAAGGACAGACUGAUUUAAAAAAAAUAAAUAAAAAAUUGAAAUAAUUUUUUAUGAAUUAUAAUAAAUAAAAAAACAAUUUUUUUCUACCUCAGAUAUUACCCAGAAUUCCUGUGCAGCUCCUGCUGUGUUUGGUAGCACUAUACAUAUUUCAGGUUUAUGAUCUUUUCAACAUUCCAAAGAUUCCAGCAUUUUUUUUUCUCUUUGUUAAAAUGUUUCGGUCUGUGUUACAAUGUUUACAUAUUUCUGUUGGCAAUCAUUCUGUUUGUUUCCAUGAUAGAGUGCAGUGUGAGUGGUUUAAUGAAUAUUAUACAGUAAAAAUAUGUAUCAUGGAUUUCAUUUGAAUCGAGCGGUGAUUAUUAAAGAUGCAGUUGUUUUUAGUGUGUGUGAUACGCUCAGACGCUUGCUUUGUGUGAGAAUGACUUUAAAUAUGCUUGAAAUAUUUAUUUUUACAGCACUGAAUAAAAACAAAAUUAA